rnacentral:rRNA from 1 species
UACGUAGGGGGGCAAGCGUUGUCCGGAUUUACUGGGCGUAAAGGGCGCGUAGGCGGUCAGCACAAGUCAGUUGUGAAAUCUCCGGGCUUAACUCGGAAAGGUCAACUGAUACUGUGCGACUAGAGUGCGGAAGGGGCUACUGGAAUUCCCGGUGUAGCGGUGAAAUGCGUAGAUAUCGGGAGGAAUACCAGUGGCGAAGGCGGCCUUCUGGACGGAUACUGACGCUGAGGCGCGAAAGCCAGGGGAGCAAAGCGGG